GGCAUGCGCCCGGUCAUUAAUCCGAGGUAGGAGCACACACCUACUGUUUUCAGACUCAAGUUUUUACAUUUUUUUCUUACAAAAAAGGAUCCUGUUUUCAGUGUUUCUAGUGUGUUAUAUUUAAUAACAUAACAUUAUCUUCUACAGUGGUGUAGGUUCCAGCUGGUGUAAUUGGAUUAUUUUAUUGAAUAAGAAAAUGAGGACAACGCCCAAGAAUGGCAAGAAGAAAGUGGUUUAUAAGAAAAAGGUCGAACACAUGUCGAGGUCAUGCCCCAUAUGUAGCCUGCAAGGUAUCACGACGCUGUAUGCGAGGGUCAGCGACUAUAUCUGGCGCAAGCACAAGCUGUCGGUCGAGCAGGCGAAGCAGCUUUCGUCCGAGCAAAGGGCCGCCACUUGCAGAUGAACGAACAGCGAACGCCGGUAUUACCAGUGCUCAGCACCUGCGUCAGACAGAUAUCAAGGACAGAGAUUCCCUGGACUAGUGCUCAGGAAGAGCGAAAUCAAGAAGAGUGAUGCAGAAACGGAAGGUGCCUGCCUCCGCCGCAGGUCAGCAACCGCAUCCGGGUCCGCUGCCGGUUAUGGUUCGGCCAACCCACAGCCGCCACCACGCCCAGAAGAGAGCUCUUCAGAGGGUGAGCAGACACUGGACACCUUCCUCACCCGGGACUGCUGUCUCAUCCUCGGCCCGCAUUCUCGCGUCAUGCUUUGUCGUUAAAGCUUUUCGAUUGUGGAAGAAUUCAUCAUGCAUGCGGCCACGCGCUGUGGGUGGAAGUGCAAUGUGGCGAAGCGCCUGGAGUCCAAAUGAAGCUGAACCGCUUCCUGGCCCUGAGCGGGUACACUGUGGGGGCCGUGUUUGCAGACGUGCUGGUGUGAGGAGGACACAUGGAGGUCCACGACAACUACCUAACCAAGGCCCACCAGCCAGGAACAGUUCGAUCCGCCCUGACAGUGUUUGAGCCUUCUUGAAGUGGGCCGGGGACAAAAAGCAUGCACCAGCACCAACGGUGGAGGAAGCCGAUCGCACUAUCCAGGGCUGCCUGUCAGCCACCCGCGUCGCUCUGCCCUCGGCCGCCGCCCCGGAGCAGCAACCACAACGUGAGGAAACGAUGUACGAUGAAACAGAUGGGCAUGAUUUCACGCAUCAUAGCGACGACGACACGAAUGUCCCUCUGCCGUCGGUCGCCGCCCCGGAACCUGACCAUGACACUGACACUCAGGCCCUAGACUUGGAGACCGGCCUGACGGAUUCCCUGGGGGAAAUCAAGGAUGCCCAGUGUGAGUCAUCAUCAUCCUCAUCGAUACCGAUCCGUGUUGUGUCCAGGAAGAGGCUGCGACAGGUGUCCUCCAGUGACGAGGAGGACCCAUACACUACGAAAUAUUGUGAAAAAUCUCAAGUUACGAAAGU